rnacentral:tRNA from 1 species
GGGUCAUUAGCUCAGUUGGUAGAGCACCUGACUCUUAAUCAGGUUGUCCACGGUUCGAGCCCGUGAUGACCCACCA